rnacentral:rRNA from 1 species
GACUCUCGGCAACGGAUAUCUAGGCCCUCGCAUCGAUGAAGAACGUAGCGAAAUGCGAUACUUGGUGUGAAUUGCAGAAUCCCGUGAACCAUCGAGUCUUUGAACGCAAGUUGCGCCCGGAGCCUCGGCCGAGGGCACGCCUGCUUGGGCGUCACGCC